rnacentral:lncRNA from 1 species
CAAUGUGUGCUCGUACUUGCAGAUGGAUUGGCAAUACGACCUUGCUUCUCAGGUUCAAACAUCUUCCUGUUGUAACCACUAACCCCUUGUGUUCUGUUGAAUUACGUGAUUCUGAUGCUCCCAAAAUAUUCAUGCUACAUAUGUAUUACGCUUCUGCUUUUGACGAAAAAGGGUUUCCUCCGCUUUGUAUUCUAAAGCAACCGACACCGAUACAACCGACGAUAGGUGCUGGGGCGGAAACAACACAGUCAUGC